rnacentral:rRNA from 1 species
GAACCUUACCUGGGCUCGAAAUGCAGUGGACCGGGGUAGAAAUAUCCCUUCCCCUUAAAAGGCUGCUGCAUAGGUGCUGCAUGGCUGUCGUCAGCUCGUGUCGUGAGAUGUUGGGUUAAGUCCCGCAACGAGCGCAACCCUUGUCCUGUGUUGCCAUGCCGAAAGGCGGAACUCGCAGGAGACCGCCAGCGAUAAGCUGGAGGAAGGUGGGGAUGACGUCAAGUCCUCAUGGCCUUUAUGUCCAGGGCUGCACACGUGCUACAAUGGGCGGUACAAAGCGCCGCGAACCCGCGAGGGGGAGCCAAUCGCAGAAAACCGCUCUCAGUUCGGAUUGCAGGCUGCAACUCGCCUGCAUGAAGCUGGAAUCGCUAGUAAUGGCAGAUCAGCACGCUGCCGUGAAUACGUUCCCGGGCCUUGUCACACCGA